rnacentral:rRNA from 1 species
GUAAACCCCUGUUGUAAGGGAAGAACACCUUGGAUAGGAAAUGAUCCAAGAUUGACGGUACCUUACCAGAAAGUCACGGCUAACUAUGUGCCAGCAGCCGCGGUAAUACAUAGGUGGCGAGCGUUAUCCGGAUUUAUUGGGCGUAAAGAGUGCACAGGUGGUUUGUCAAGUCAGUUGUUAAAGCCCGGGGCUCAACCCCGGUUCGCAAUUGAAACUGACAGACUAGAAUAUCGGUGGGGGUAGUAGAAUUCCAUGUGUAGCGGUGGAAUGCAUAAAUAUAUGGAGGAAUACCAGUGGCGAAGGCGGCUACCUGAACGAUUAUUGACACUUAAGCACGAAAGCGUGGGGAGCAAAUAGGAUUAGAUACCCUAGUAGUCCACGCCGUAAACGAUCUAGACUAGAAGUUGGGAUAACCCAGUUUCACAGCUAACGCAUUAAGUCUAGCGCCUGGGUAGUAUGCACGCAAGUGUGAAACUCAAAGGAAUUGACGGGGACCAGCACAAGUGGUGGAGCAUGUGGUUUAAUUCGACGAUACGCGAAGAACCUUACCUACACUUGAAAUGCUUGGCAAUGCUAUAGAGAUAUAGCGGAGGCUAACCAAUGCACAGGUGGUGCAUGGUUGUCGUCAGCUCGUGUCGUGAGAUGUUCGGUUAAGUCCGGCAACGAGCGCAACCCCUAUCUUAUGUUACUAAACAUUCAGUUGAGGACUCAUGAGAGACUGCCUGGGUAACCAGGAGGAAGGUGGGGAUGACGUCAAAUCAUCA